AGGAUCGACCGGGUCGAUGCUAAUCUAGACGAAACACAAGAAAUUAUCGAAGGGACAAGGGAUGAGGUCGCAGUGAUCCAUGUGGAUCUGAGCGCCUUUCAGAAGGAGCUCCAAGAAGUCAGCCGUACGGUUGAAAUAUGGGGGUCAAGGCUCUCUGGUAUCGAGGACACCCAGGUAAGCAC